UACGUAGGGUGCGAGCGUUGUCCGGAAUUAUUGGGCGUAAAGGGCUCGUAGGCGGUUUGUCGCGUCGGGAGUGAAAACCAGGUGCUUAACACCUGGCUUGCUUUCGAUACGGGCAGACUAGAGGUAUGCAGGGGAGAACGGAAUUCCUGGUGUAGCGGUGGAAUGCGCAGAUAUCAGGAGGAACACCGGUGGCGAAGGCGGGUCUCUGGGCAGUAACUGACGCUGAGGAGCGAAAGCGUGGGGAGCAAACAGG
rnacentral:rRNA from 1 species